rnacentral:rRNA from 1 species
GGCGAACGGGUGAGUAACGCGUGGGUAACCUACCCUGGAGUGGGGGACAACAGUUGGAAACGACUGCUAAUACCGCAUAAGCCCACAGUACCGCAUGGUACAGAGGGAAAAGGAGCAAUUCGCUUCAGGAUGGACCCGCGUCUGAUUAGCUAGUUGGUGAGGUAACGGCCCACCAAGGCGACGAUCAGUAGCCGGACUGAGAGGUUGAUCGGCCACACUGGAACUGAGACACGGUCCAGACUCCUACGGGAGGCAGCAGUGAGGAAUAUUGGUCAAUGGUCGGAAGACUGAACCAGCCAAGUAGCGUGAAGGAUGAAGGUUCUAUGGAUUGUAAACUUCUUUUAUACGGGAAUAAAGCCCGCUACGUGUAGCGGUUUGUAUGUACCGUAUGAAUAAGCAUCGGCUAACUCCGUGCCAGCAGCCGCGGUAAUACGGAGGAUGCGAGCGUUAUCCGGAUUUAUUGGGUUUAAAGGGAGCGUAGACGGGAUGUUAAGUCAGUUGUGAAAGUUUGCGGCUCAACCGUAAAAUUGCAGUUGGAACUGGGAGCCUUGAGUGUGCAUAAGGUGGAUGGAAUUCGUGGUGUAGCGGUGAAAUGCUUAGAUAUCACGAAGAACUCCGAUUGCGAAGGCAGUCCACUGGGGCACUACUGACGCUGAGGCUCGAAAGUGCGGGUAUCAAACAGGAUUAGAUACCCUGGUAGUCCGCACAGUAAACGAUGGACACUCGCUGUUGGCGAUAUACAGUCAGCGGCCAAGCGAAAGCAUUAAGUGUCCCACCUGGGGAGUACGCCGGCAACGGUGAAACUCAAAGGAAUUGACGGGGGCCCGCACAAGCGGAGGAACAUGUGGUUUAAUUCGAUGAUACGCGAGGAACCUUACCCGGGCUUGAACUGCAGGAGACUUAGGCGGAAACGUCUUUUCCCUUCGGGGCUCCUGUGGAGGUGCUGCAUGGUUGUCGUCAGCUCGUGCCGUGAGGUGUCGGCUUAAGUGCCAUAACGAGCGCAACCCUUGCCGGUAGUUGCCAUCAGGUAAUGCUGGGGACUCUGCCGGGACUGCCAUCGCAAGAUGUGAGGAAGGUGGGGAUGACGUCAAAUCAGCACGGCCCUUACGUCCGGGGCUACACACGUGUUACAAUGGGAGGUACAGAAGGCCGCUACCCGGUGACGGGAUGCCAAUCCCCAAAACCUCUCUCAGUUCGGACUGGAGUCUGCAACCCGACUCCACGAAGCUGGAUUCGCUAGUAAUCGCGCAUCAGCCAUGGCGCGGUGAAUACGUUCCCGGGCCUUGCACUCACCGCCCGUCAAG